AUACGGAGGAUGCGAGCGUUAUCCGGAUUUAUUGGGUUUAAAGGGAGCGUAGGUGGGAUAUUAAGUCAGCUGUGAAAGUUUGGGGCUCAACCUUAAAAUUGCAGUUGAUACUGGUUUCCUUGAGUACGGUAUAGGUGGGCGGAAUUCGUGGUGUAGCGGUGAAAUGCUUAGAUAUCACGAAGAACUCCGAUCGCGAAGGCAGCUCACCGGGCCGGAACUGACACUGAUGCUCGAAAGUGCGGGUAUCAAACAGGAUUAGAUACCCUGGUAGUCCGCACAGUAAACGAUGAAUACUCGCUGUUUGCGAUACACUGUAAGCGGCCAAGCGAAAGCGUUAAGUAUUCCCCCUGGGGAGUUCGCCGGCAACGGUGAAACUCAAAUGAAUUGACGGGG
rnacentral:rRNA from 1 species